rnacentral:rRNA from 1 species
UACGUAGGUGGCAAGCGUUGUCCGGAUUUAUUGGGUUUAAAGGGUGCGUAGGCGGUUAUAUAAGUCAGUGCUGAAAUAUCCCGGCUUAACCGGGAGGGUGGCAUUGAUACUGUAUGACUUGAGUAAAGUUGAAGUUGGCGGAAUUGACGGUGUAGCGGUGAAAUGCUUAGAUAUCGUCAAGAACACCGAUUGCGAAGGCAGCUAACUAAGCUUUAACUGACGCUGAGGCACGAAAGUGUGGGGAUCAAACAGG